rnacentral:rRNA from 1 species
UACGUAGGGUGCGAGCGUUAAUCGGAAUUACUGGGCGUAAAGCGUGCGCAGGCGGUUCGACAAGUCCGAUGUGAAAGCCCCGGGCUCAACCUGGGAAUGGCAUUGGAAACUGGCGAGCUUGAGUGUGGCAGAGGGGGUGGAAUUCCGCGUGUAGCAGUGAAAUGCGUAGAGAUGCGGAGGAACACCGAUGGCGAAGGCAGCCCCCUGGGCUGACACUGACGCUCAGGCACGAAAGCGUGGGGAGCAAACAGG